CCUACGGGAGGCAGCAGUGGGGAAUCUUGCGCAAUGGGCGAAAGCCUGACGCAGCAACGCCGCGUGCGGGAAGAAGGCUUUCGGGCUGUAAACCGCUUUCAGCAGGAACGAAAAUGACGGUACCUGCAGAAGAAGGAGCGGCCAACUAUGUGCCAGCAGCCGCGGUGAUACAUAGGCUUCAAGCGUUGUCCGGAUUUAUUGGGCGUAAAGAGUUCGUAGGCGGUCGAGUAAGUCGGGUGUGAAAAUUCUGGGCUCAACCCAGAGACGCCACCCGAUACUGCUUAACUUGAGUUCGAUAGGGGAGUGGGGAAUUCCUAGUGUAACGGUGAAAUGCGCAGAUAUUAGGAGGAACACCGGUGGCGAAGGCGCCACUCUGGAUCGAUACUGACGCUGAGGAACGAAAGCAUGGGUAGCAAACAGGAUUAGAUACCCUGGUAGUCCAUGCCGUAAACGGUGGGCACUAGGUGUGGGAUUCUAUUAACGAAUUCCGCGCCGUCACUAACGCAUUAAGUGCCCCGCUGGGGAUCGGUCGCAAGACUAAACUUAAGGAAUUGACGGCNGAGACGNGCGACGACGACGACGAGGAGAG
rnacentral:rRNA from 1 species